CUUUAUCAAAGCUGUAUUGGAAUUUAUUCAUAACAGAUUGUUGAUGGGUAUUUUGAGUUGCCACAUAUAUUGAGCAUAUUUUUACUAUUAUAACUAUCCAGCAAAUACACUUAUGAAGUUAUAAGAGGUAAAGAAGCACAUCAAGAUAUUAAGAGUCUGAGAACAGAGCAUCAGGAGAUCAUAACCCAGCAAGCAUCAGACUCAAGGGAGUGAGAACAAAUGGGGAGGAGGCCAGUCCAUCACAGGGUGAACUCACACAGCAAGGAUAAACAGGGCAAUGCCAAUUCACUGAGCCUUCAUAUCCCUGGAUUGUGGAAGAGAAUAAACAAGACCACGAGGGGGAGAUCA